AACGUAGGAGACAAACGUUAUCCGGAGUUACUGGGCGUAAAGGGCGUGUAGGUGGUAUCGUAAGUCUGGCGUGAAAUUUCUCGGCUUAACCGAGGCAGGUCGUCGGAUACUGCGGAACUUGAGGACGGUAGAGGCGUGUGGAAUUCCGGGUGUAGUGGUGAAAUGCGUAGAGAUCCGGAGGAACACCAGUGGCGAAGGCGACACGCUGGGCCGUACCUGACACUGAUGCGCGACAGCAUGGGGAGCAAACAGG
rnacentral:rRNA from 1 species